rnacentral:lncRNA from 1 species
CAGUCCCCCCUCUUGCUCUCACAUCCUCUUCUGGUCCCCUCCCCACUUUUUCCCUGUCUCCCUCCAAACCUGCCUCUGUCCUAUAUGCUCCUGAACGUGCCUGUCACCUACAAGCCACUCAAGGAGGCCGGCAGGUCCUACAUGGUGAGCUGGGGCCAGCAAUGAGGGCUGGGGAACUGGGCUGAUCACAGCCAAGCUCCCGCCAGCCUCAGCUCACCUAGCAGGAUGCUUCCUUCUUAAGGUGCCCAGCUGAUGGACCAGCUCACAGCAUGCCUCCUGGCAGGACUUUGUGAUGCAACAAACAAGUGCUUGGUCCUUGUCCUCCAGAUCCCUGUUGCCUCAUGGGGGGUGGGGUCCCCUGGGGGGAUGGCCAGCUACAUGGUGCCCUCUCCCCCCCACCCCCACCCCACCAGCAGUCCCUUCCACCAAAGCAAUUCAUCAUCAGACCUCCAGGGCAGACAGCACAACUCCCAAGCCUUCAAGCUGACAGCCACAGGCAAAUGAAGACAGCUGGUUCUCACCUUCUAUGCGGCCCUUGGUCCCCAUUGCCCUGUGAGACUCUGCUUCUGACAAAGGGUCAGAAAGAUCCAUCCCUGAGAGGAAAAGAAGGGAAGACACCCUACCCCACGCCCCUGGAACUCACACCCCAGUGUGGAGGAUCACACGCAGACACACACAGACCGAGGCCUGCCCAUCCCGUAUAGCUGUGGCCCUGAAGCCCGUGGAGCAUCGGAACCACCUGAGACAGUGUGAGUGACUGAGCUUCCUUAGAGCUUCUAGCCUGCUGGGAGAAGGCAGGCCUGGGGA